AGAAAUUUCAACGAUCCAACGGUCGGAUUAAAAAUUAUAACUCACGCAAUAGAGCUUAAGAACACUGAUUUUUAGGACUAUGAGUCCUUCGGACCAGUUUCACUCAAACAGUCACCACAAAAAAUCCACAAAGAAUUUUUGGGUGAUUCUAAUUUCUUCGUUUAGCUUACUUCCAGGGCUUUCUUUUGAUAUAUGGCUCAUCUCCUUACUCAUUAUAUACAAAGAAUUAUGGAUUUUACAAAAUCAAGUAGUAAACUAAUUUUUUCAAAAAUUUCCAGAUUUCGUUUUUCAUUUGAUUUCUUGAUUUCUCUCAUUUGAUUCAUGUUUAUGCAAGUUUAAAUCAUCCAAUACAUACAUAAGUAUGUACUCUUUACAUAAAAUCUAUAAACUAAAAUUAUCAAGAGUUUGAAAAUGCCUUUCUUAAUUUCUUCUUUCUUCUCCUUAUUCUCUUCUUCUUCUUUCUUUCUCUUUUCUCUUCUUUCUUUUCUCUAUUUUCUUUUGCUGAAGAUUGGCUACGGGAGGGAGUGUGAAGAAAAUCCUCCGCCCUCUCUCUCUCUCUCUCUCUCUCUCUCUCUUUAUUUCUCCCACUUUCUUUUUUCUCUCUCCCUUUUUUCUUUUUCUUCCCUCUUUUUCUUCCUUUCUUUCAUAUUUUCUUCCUUCCAUUAUUCUUUUGUCUCCCACAUGCUAGCCGCCCAAUAAUUUUUCCACUUACUCUCUUUAUUUGCUCAUUUAUCCGAUUAAUUGCUCAUUUGACCAUUUAUCAAUUUAAUAUUUAUAAUUUUAGAAUAAUAAUCAUAAAUUAAAUUGGACUUUUAUUUCAUAAAAGUCGGGGUCUUACAUUAAUUAUUUUAAUAUUUGGUGGAUUCUGAUUCCUAGGUAUCUUUUCUCAAUAAUAGUUUCCGUUAUUAAUUAAUAGUUUGCAUAAUUUAGUUAAUAAAAAAUCUCCACCAUUUUUGUUUCUAAUUUGCCUAAAAUAUUAAUUAAGGAUAUAUUAAAGAUUUGAUAUAGUCUAUGUGGUUCGACCCGCACUUGCCAAAUCUACAAUAGACGUUGUGCACUUGCAGUACAUAAUUUUAACUCAUCAAGUUUUUAACGUUUCCGCCGGGGAAUAGAAUUAAUUUUUAUUUAUUCGAAUUAGUUUUAACUCUAAU
rnacentral:lncRNA from 1 species